rnacentral:rRNA from 1 species
UACAGAGGUCCCAAGCGUUGUUCGGAUUCAUUGGGCGUAAAGGGUGUGUAGGUGGCGCCGUAAGUCGGGUGUGAAAUCUCGGGGCUUAACUCCGAAACUGCAUUCGAUACUGCGGUGCUUGAGGACUGGAGAGGAGACUGGAAUUCAUGGUGUAGCAGUGAAAUGCGUAGAUAUCGAGAGGAACACCUGCGGCGAAGGCGGGUUGCUGGGCUGACACUGACGCUGAAGUGCGAAAGCUAGGGGAGCGAACGGG